rnacentral:rRNA from 1 species
UACGGGGGGGGGGCAAGCGUUGUUCGGAAUUACUGGGCGUAAAGGGCGCGUAGGCGGCCUGCUAAGUCACACGUGAAAUCCCUCGGCUCAACCGGGGAACUGCGUGUGAUACUGGCGGGCUUGAAUUCGGGAGAGGGAUGUGGAAUUCCAGGUGUAGCGGUGAAAUGCGUAGAUAUCUGGAGGAACACCGGUGGCGAAGGCGGCAUCCUGGACCGAGAUUGACGCUGAGGCGCGAAAGCUAGGGGAGCAAACGGG